CCUAGGAUAUGAGUUUUAUGUCAUUAAGAAAAAAAUUAAAUAGUUUUCUCUCUCUGCCCCUCCCUUCCCCCUCUCUCUCUCUUUCUCAAAAACAAACAUUAAAAAAUUUUUAAAAAUUUAAAUAGUUCAUGCAAAAGUGCUUCAUGAACUACAUGCUAUUCUGCAAGGAUUGGCCACUUUUUAAUUAUUAUCAAGGCUAAUAAAUUUUUAUUUUCAUCAAGUAAAAAAAAUUAAACGUAUUAGUGCCCAUAAGUAAAUACAAUAGUACUCAAUGCUUCCCAGUUAUGUUGUUUUUCUUUUUCUUUUUUUUUCUUUUUUUUUUUUUUUUACAUUUAUUUGUUUUUGAGAGACAGAGCUAAAGUGGAGGAGGGGCAGAGAGAGAAGGAGACACAGAAUCUGAAGCAGGCUCCAGGCUCUGAGCUGUCAGCACAGAACCCGCCAUGAGCAAACAUUCAGCACAGAGUCUGAUGUGAGGCUCGAACCCAAGAACUGUGAGAUCACGACCCGAGCCAAAGUCGGAUGCUUUGCCACUCAGGCGCCACUGCUUUUCUUUAAUUGUAAACCAAGGUCUUGGGUUUUGCUAACAUUUUCAUGGGUUAACGUUAGUAAGAAGGCAGAAAGUUUAAUAAGUAAUUGUUCUUCAUAACAGAAGUGCAGAUUGACUCUGAUUAGUAAACAUUCUCUUCAUGGUACAGAUAGAGCAGCAGAGUGACUUGCCUGCCAUCGCACAUCGGCAGAACCGGGAUGGACAGUCAGACCUGUGUGACACCAGAGCCCUCGAAUUUUCCGGUCAUUGCUCCCGACCUUGUUUGUCGGUUUGCUUUUUCACACAGAGCCGUUUUGAUCAAGUUCAGAGCAGCUCAGAACUUCCUCUCCCAAGCGAAACGGUCCAGAUAGACCCCAGGCCAAUUCUACUCAACAAGCCAGGGCCAGCGGUCCUGUUUACAGCAGAAUCACCCAGGUCUGGGCUCCCCGCCAGCCCGGCCCAGGCCGCACCUCCUGGCCCGGCCCCACGGAGGAGAAAAGAAAGUGCACAGCAGGGGACACAACCUGUGGUCACACGACUCGGGUUCUCUGGAGUCUAACUUUGCUUCUGUUUCUGUAGCUUGAAUAAAAUACUUCACCCUUUUCCGUUUAUUUGCACAGAAAGCUGUUUAACAUCGGGGCGCGGGGGCAAGGGAGGGGGGCACAACCACGUGCGCUGCGAUGAUUUCCAAUCACAACACACACGCCCAAAGAGGGGGGAAGAUGGUCAGCGAUAGAUUUCCUUUCUAAAAUUCUUUAAAAUAAAUGCCCUGGUGGAGGCAGCCUGGCAUAUUUCCACUCUGUGAAUAAUUGUUGAGAAACACAACGCUUGGCACACCACCUGCCCAGUGCCCGGGCCCCGCUCCAGACCCCAGUUUGGCAACCAGGUCCCCAGGGCCUGAGUGUCUGGAGACUGUCUAC
rnacentral:lncRNA from 1 species